UUUGAUCCUGGCUCAGAGCGAACGUUAGCGGCGCGCCUAACACAUGCAAGUCGCACGAGAAAGGGGGCAACCCCCGGUACAGUGGCGCACGGGUGAGUAACACGUGGGUGAUCUGCCCAGAAGAAGGGGAUAACCUCUCGAAAGGGGGGCUAAUACCGCAUAGGACCACCGGGGCUUUGGCUCUGUGGUGAAAGGGGGCCUCUGUUUACAAGCUCCUGCUUCUGGAUGAGCCCGCGUCCCAUCAGCUAGUUGGUAGGGUAAUGGCCUACCAAGGCUACGACGGGUAGCUGGUCUAAGAGGAUGGCCAGCCACACUGGAACUGAGACACGGUCCAGACUCCUACGGGAGGCAGCAGUGGGGAAUCUUGCGCAAUGGGCGAAAGCCUGACGCAGCGACGCCGCGUGGGUGACGAAGGCCUCGGUGUAAG
rnacentral:rRNA from 1 species